rnacentral:rRNA from 1 species
GAUGAACGCUGGCGGCGUGCCUAAUACAUGCAAGUCGAGCGAACAGACGAGGAGCUUGCUCCUCUGACGUUAGCGGCGGACGGGUGAGUAACACGUGGAUAACCUACCUAUAAGACUGGGAUAACUUCGGGAAACCGGAGCUAAUACCGGAUAAUAUAUUGAACCGCAUGGUUCAAUAGUGAAAGACGGUUUUGCUGUCACUUAUAGAUGGAUCCGCGCCGCAUUAGCUAGUUGGUAAGGUAACGGCUUACCAAGGCGACGAUGCGUAGCCGACCUGAGAGGGUGAUCGGCCACACUGGAACUGAGACACGGUCCAGACUCCUACGGGAGGCAGCAGUAGGGAAUCUUCCGCAAUGGGCGAAAGCCUGACGGAGCAACGCCGCGUGUGUGAUGAAGGUCUUCGGAUCGUAAAACUCUGUUAUGAGGGAAGAACAAAUGUGUAAGUAACUAUGCACGUCUUGACGGUACCGAAUCAGAAAGCCACGGCUAACUACGUG